AGGCUCUCGAUGGAUCCUGCUAAUGGUAAAUCUGUCAGUGCCCACAGCACGAGACCUGGACUCAGAGCAUCAAGAUAUCACUAUGUAACAGAAAGGCUUUUGGAAUUCCACAGACUUGAAAAGGAGAGUGAAAAGGAAACGUUCCAAGCAUGGGGACUGAUACUCCCCUGGGAAAGGCACAGCACAGGCUGACUGCCCAGUUCCUCAUUGGGCACUCUCCUGUACAUUCUGGUUUCUUUCAGGGAACCAGAUCCCACAUGCUGCAACUUAAAAUUCCGCAUGCCGCAACUAAGACCCAUCACAGCCAAAUAAAUAAAUAUUACACGAAAAUCAUCAAUGCCUUGAAAGAACAAAGAAAGACCGAGGAACACUUCCAGAUUAAAAGAGGCUGAGAGAUAUGAACUGAAUGCCAUAUGGGGUCCAGAGUUUCCUUGUGUUAUAAAGGACAUUGCUGGGACAAAUGGCAAGAUCCAUGU